rnacentral:rRNA from 1 species
UACGACUACAUAUCAGGCAUAUCAAUAAGCGGAGGAAAAGAAACUAACAAGGAUUCCCUUAGUAACGGCGAGUGAAGCGAGAAGAGCUCAAAUUUGAAAUCUUCAAGGUUCUACCUUGACGAAUUGUAGUUUAAAGAAGUGUUUUCUGUUAGAUGAGUAGCAAAAGUUCCUUGGAAUGGGACAUCAUAGAGGGUGAGAAUCCCGUAUUUGGUUAUUCAUUCUAGCUUUGUGAUACACUUUCAAAGAGUCGGAUUGUUUGGGAAUGCAGUCCAAAAUGGGUGGUAAAUUUCAUCUAAAGCUAAAUAUUGGCGAGAGACCGAUAGCGAACAAGUACCGUGAGGGAAAGAUGAAAAGAACUUUGAAAAGAGAGUUAAACAGUACGUGAAAUUGUCAAAAGGGAAGCGUUUGACACCAGUGUUGUUUUUCCGAAAAUCAAUUACGAAUGGCUUGAUUCUGUGUUGUAUUGACCUUAUCAGCUUUCUGCACUUUUUUCGAGUCUUUCUUAAUGCACUUUUCGGUUAACAAGUCAACAUCAAUUUCUUUUGUUGUAAAAGAGUAUUCGGAAGGUGGCUUUCUUUUCGGAGAAAGUGUUUAUAGCCCUAUACUUCUACAAUCGGAGAGAUUGAGGUCUGCAGCGUAGAUCCUUCGGGGUUAGAUACAUUUGUGCUAAGUUGUAGCUUUUCAUAGACAACUUGUUGACUAUGUUUAGUCAUGCGGCUUACUCGCUUAUGCUAUUUUACCUACGCUUAGGAUGUUGAGUAGCGACAUACGCAC